rnacentral:rRNA from 1 species
UACGGGGGGAGCAAGCGUUGUUCGGAUUUACUGGGCGUAAAGGGCGCGUAGGCGGUCGUGACAAGUCACUUGUGAAAUCUCCGGGCUUAACUCGGAACGGUCAAGUGAUACUGUCGGACUAGAGUACAGAAGGGGCAACUGGAAUUCUCGGUGUAGCGGUGAAAUGCGUAGAUAUCGAGAGGAACACCUGCGGCGAAGGCGGGUUGCUGGGCUGACACUGACGCUGAACUGCGAAAGCCAGGGGAGCGAACGGG